rnacentral:antisense_RNA from 18 species
CUCUAUGGCGGCUGUGCGUGCGGGCACGCUUGCGUGCGCCGGAAUUUUACGAUUUUCGCCGGUCUGUCAACCCACGCACAGCUGCCACCC